GGAUGCGAUCAUACCAGCACUAAAGCACCAGAUCCCAUCAGAACUUCGAAGUUAAGCAUGCUUGGGCGAGAGUAGUACUAGGAUGGGUGACCUCUUGGGAAGUCCUCGUGUUGCAUUCC
rnacentral:rRNA from 1 species